UACGGGGGGGGCAAGCGUUGUUCGGAAUUACUGGGCGUAAAGGGUUCGUAGGUGGCCAACUAAGUCAGACGUGAAAUCCCUCAGCUUAACUGGGGAACUGCGUCUGAGACUGGAUGGCUUGAGUGCAGGAGAGGAACGCGGAAUUCCAGGUGUAGCGGUGAAAUGCGUAGAUAUCUGGAGGAACACCGGUGGCGAAGGCGGCAUCCUGGACCAAUUCUGACGCUGAGGAGCGAAAGCCAGGGGAGCAAACGGG
rnacentral:rRNA from 1 species